rnacentral:rRNA from 1 species
CCCUUAGAUGUUCUGGGCCGCACGCGCGCUACACUGAUCGAUUCAACGAGUUUUGAAAUACUUUUUAUAAUUUUUCAUAUCCUUUGUCGGAAGGCAUGGGUAAUCUUUUAAAUGUCGAUCGUGAUGGGGCUAGAUUCUUGCAAUUAUUAAUCUCCAACGAGGAAUUCCUAGUAAACGCAAGUCAUCAGCUUGCAUUGAUUACGUCCCUGCCCUUUGUACACACCGCCCGUCGCACCUACCGAUUGAAUGGUCCGGUGAAGCCUCGGGAUUGUGGUUGGUUUCCUUUAUUGGAGAUUGAUUGCGAGAACUUGUCUAAACCUUAUCAUUUAGAGGAAGGUGAAGUCGUAACA